ACACGAGAAAGGAGGUGAUCCGAGAAGUGAACUCUCUUCGGACCCGUGAGGUGGUCGCGCGCUAGUCGUCGCGCGACCGAUACGUCUCUGACGGACCGGACGCGGUGAGCCCGUGAACCGGGCGGCGCCUCCCGCGCGGGAGGCGGCCGACGGCGAGCGAGUACCACGCGACCACCGGGGCCCGCGGGAGUCGUGCCCUCGUCCAGCACGACAGGAGGAUCGCUCCUCCGGCCCGCGGGCUUCUCCGU
rnacentral:sRNA from 1 species